AGAAUCAACGCUGGCGGCGUGCCUAACACAUGCAAGUCGAACGAGAAAGUGGAGCAAUCCAUGAGUAAAGUGGCGCACGGGUGAGUAACACGUGACUAACCUACCUUUUAGUGGGGGAUAACCUAGGGAAACCUGGGCUAAUACCGCAUAAUACCUACGGGUCAAAGCAGCAAUGCGCUGAAAGAGGGGGUCGCGGUCGAUUAGUUAGUUGGCAGGGUAAUGGCCUACCAAGACUGUGAUCGAUAUCCGGCCUGAGAGGGCGCACGGACACACUGGAACUGAAACACGGUCCAGACUCCUACGGGAGGCAGCAGUGGGGAAUUUUGCGCGAUGGGGGAAACCCUGACGCAGCAACGCCGCGUGGAGGAUGAAGUCCCUUGGGACGUAAACUCCUUUCGAUCAGGACGAUAAUGACGGUACCGGAAGAAGAAGCCCGGCUAACUUCGUGCCAGCAGCCGC
rnacentral:rRNA from 1 species